ensembl:lncRNA
UGUCCUGCCAUGCUUGUUGGCACAUUAACCACACUUAACUCCCUCACUUCCUGACACAGAAUAAAUGUUUGGCCUUUGCCCGGCCUCUUGGUGAGCGCUUUGCUGUUAAGCAUGAUGUGGGACUCAACACCACGGGGGACAGAUUCUUGGCACCAGCAAAGGGAAACAUUAAACACAGGCUGAUGGCUGUGACACCAAGAGAUUGGGAGAGGGAUUCAGAGAUUUAUCACCCUGCAGGCCAGGAACACAUCCAGACACCACCGCCUAGCUCACUUAGCAACGUUUUAGGUCAAAAAGACUUGGUCUCAACAAGCAUUUCAAGGGCUUGUGUGGUAUCUGAAAAAAAGAUGUUUUUCCACUCCAGCCUGGUCCUGCGGCGUCCACCUGUUCAUCAAUGCCAGCAAUCAGUGGGAGCUGUAUUUUAAGCAGCCACACCACGAGUCCAUGCCACGCUGAACUACUCUUCUCUUCCGUUAGCUGCUGAGCUCAGCUUAAGGUUGCUCACGCUUCUCUGGAUUCAUGCCGUCUUUACCUGCCUGUCCUCCUGCCCACCGGCUCUGGUUGCACCUGGAAAACAGGUUGGAAUUUGUUUGCAUCUGGACAUUCACUCAGAAACGCUCCUCGCAUACUCAAGUAAACCACUAACCCUGCCAGUGUUACUCUGCUUCUGGUUCCUCUCACUCAGAUCAGUAACCGAUCUCUCCUCUGUUUCAGUGUCCAUCACCUCAGAGACUUGCUGCCACUCUCAUAGUCGAACCAGGGCUCCUACAGUCACACCAUGUCACUGUAUAUUGUGUAUAUACACAGUAAAGUACAGAAAGCUAUUCUUGCCUUUGUAUUGUGUCUUGCAUUUGGGUCCAAGUUGUAUUGACACUUUUCAAC